UUGAAGUAGGUACGGUUUUGAAUUGUAUUAUACAUUUGAAUAUAUGAUGAUUGGAAAAUAGAGUUAAGUAUGGAAAUCAUUGAUUUCGUCCUAAAUAUGCUACACGAACGAAUUUCAAGUUGAUUUGAAUUUUCAGUGUAGGAUUUGCAUGUCACGAGAAAAUGUGAAAUGACGCCCCUGAUCUUUAUUUCAAUUUUAUAAUAUGUAUUUGAAUAGGCGGAACAUUGAGUAUAAUAACGCGUAACAGUGGCUGGGAUCUUUUUUCGAGGACUACUCUGCUGAUGGCUGACGGAAAAAUGUUAUACUGAGUGUUUUAAAUGGGCGAAGUCUUCGGGGAGCAAAGUUGUUCUUUCUCAUACCCGUCUACAAGUGUCAGUCUAUCGUUCUUGAUUCGUUUAGUGCGACCACGCUUUCUAGUCCUCGGGCCUAAUAUUCCGUCUAUAAUAUGUUAUGUUAAGCCUAUAUUUUAUAAUAGGUGGUUCGAGUCGGGUCCACAACAAUUAUAGCAGAGAACCGUUUAGGCUUUUGAAAUUUUUUAAUAAGAAUAAUAGUAAUAAUAUGUUCAAAGAAGGCGUCUCGUUUCAAAACAUAUUUUAAAGUUUUAACUUUUUAAACUACAUAAUUUGGGUACAUGAUAUUAAUGACGGCAAUUUCACACGGGCAAGGACUAUGGGUAAUAUAGAGUAAGGCUUGAAGACAAAACGAUGCAGAGAUGAGGUCUGUUGGAGAAGAACUAGACGAAUAAUUAUAGGCGGUAAGGUAACUCAGAUUCGUAGCGAUGGGAAAACCGCGAACGCCACUAUCGAUUCGAGUAUGAUACAAUUUUCGGACGCGACUCGGACGAGCCGCUAUAAAAUAUAAUAUCGUAUCAUUCAUAUCCAAAUGAUGAA